GCCGCCUUAGCUCAGUCGGCAGAGCGUCUCACUCGUAAUGAGAAGGUCAAGGGUUCGAUUCCCUUAGGCGGCUCCC
rnacentral:tRNA from 2 species